rnacentral:rRNA from 1 species
CCGCGGUAAUACGGAGGGAGCUAGCGUUGUUCGGAAUUACUGGGCGUAAAGCGCGCGUAGGCGGCUUAGCAAGUUGGGGGUGAAAUCCCGGGGCUCAACCUCGGAACUGCCUCCAAAACUGCUAAGCUAGAAUCCUGGAGAGGUGAGUGGAAUUCCUAGUGUAGAGGUGAAAUUCGUAGAUAUUAGGAAGAACACCAGUGGCGAAGGCGACUCACUGGACAGGUAUUGACGCUGAGGUGCGAAAGCGUGGGGAGCGAACAGGAUUAGAUACCCUGGUAGUCCACGCCGU